CUAGCCUUAUCGGUGGAUCACUCGGUUUGUGGGUCGAUGAAGAACGCAGCCAACUGCGAUAAGUAGUGUGAACUGCAGAUAUUUUGAACACUGAACCUUCGAAUGCACAUUGCGCCAUUGGAUUUUUAUCUUUUGGCACAUUUGGCUCAGGGUCGUAA
rnacentral:rRNA from 1 species